AUACAUGCAAGUCGAGCGGAUCGAUGGGAGCUUGCUCCCUGAGAUCAGCGGCGGACGGGUGAGUAACACGUGGGUAACCUGCCUGUAAGACUGGGAUAACUCCGGGAAACCGGGGCUAAUACCGGAUAACACCUACCCCCGCAUGGGGGAAGGUUGAAAGGUGGCUUCGGCUAUCACUUACAGAUGGACCCGCGGCGCAUUAGCUAGUUGGUGAGGUAACGGCUCACCAAGGCGACGAUGCGUAGCCGACCUGAGAGGGUGAUCGGCCACACUGGGACUGAGACACGGCCCAGACUCCUACGGGAGGCAGCAGUAGGGAAUCUUCCGCAAUGGACGAAAGUCUGACGGAGCAACGCCGCGUGAGUGAAGAAGGUUUUCGGAUCGUAAAACUCUGUUGUUAGGGAAGAACAAGUGCCGUUCGAAUAGGGCGGCACCUUGACGGUACCUAACCAGAAAGCCACGGCUAACUACGUGCCAGCAGCCGCGGUAAUACGUAGGUGGCAAGCGUUGUCCGGAAUUAUUGGGCGUAAAGCGCGCGCAGGUGGUUUCUUAAGUCUGAUGUGAAAGCCCACGGCUCAACCGUGGAGGGUCAUUGGAAACUGGGGAACUUGAGUGCAGAAGAGGAAAGUGGAAUUCCAAGUGUAGCGGUGAAAAUGCGUAAAUAUUUGGAGGAACACCCAGUGGCGAAGGCGACUUUCUGGUCUGUAUCUGACCCUGAGGCGCGAAAAGCGUGGGGAAAAAAAGGAUUAAAUACCGCUGGUUCACCCACCCCGUAAA
rnacentral:rRNA from 2 species